AAUAUUGAUACGGUCAUAGGUUAUCUGCAUAAUACGUGUAGAGUGUGAUGCAGAAAUGAAGAAAUAUAGGGAUAGAGUACAUGACUGCACUCGGAGCCCAAGUUCGGUGGUUGGACGGUUAAGAGCGAGAACUGACUCCAGCUGACUUCUAACACCCGAGCCGUAUUUACUUCAUAUUUGGGACCUCAUUUACUUCACUAUCGUACUCCUCAGUACGUUCUACCCUUUCUGACAUCACGCCCUUUUUUCCCCCCAUUGCACACCAAGCACGGUGGAACGUAGAAGAGAGCGACCGACAUCGAAGGAGGAGAAUUAUGGACCGAGAAAUAGAGCAUAUCUGGUUAUGUACAACUGCUUGAAGAAAGGCGCAGCACAGAAGAAAUACAUGUCAAUAGAAGUAAAAAAGUUUAAUUUAAACUUUUGUUUUUAAUAAAAUAUUAUAUAUAUUGAACAAACUAGACCAAUUCUAAACAGCAUUUGUUACUUACAUAUCGCGAAAAUAUGUAUUGAAUUUCUAUUGGAUCAAAAAGAUCGGGAAGUUGUGGACAAACCGUUGGAGAUGGUCUUACGAUUGGUUACACAGAUCGUUAAUUCAAACAACAAAGCGCUUAAUAAUUUAUAAACAAAUAAAAUGGGUGUUGAUGGGUUAGUUGCCUUCCUCUUCCUGCUUAUAACAUUGAUGGCCAAAAGCCAAAACGUGUUUGUUUGACCAUACCAAGCGACGACCAUACUUUAGCUUGUUCAAAUUGAUUGAAUUAGUCACAAAAUAUUUUAAUGAUCACGUUUUGCACUAGUACGCUAUUUUCUUUCUCGCCCGACGGCGUAAAAGGUAAUAAGUUACUUAAGUGAAGUAAUACUGGCAAAUUUUGAUUUAUAUUCGUACAGGUGUACUAACAUAACUUGCUUAUCCCCGUUUAUACUCGGCCAGAGAUUUAUUUCAACUCGUUCUUUUGGGUUGGGCAAGCAAUUGAAAACGCCUUGCAACUUGUGUCUCAAAUCGUUUUGAGAAAUGCCAGAAAUAAUUUAGCCGGUUCGCCGUGCGUCUCGGGGUCGGGCUUUUUAUUCAAAUGAAGGAGUGCUCGGCCUAAUAGAGGAGGAACAUGAAAUAUAGAGUUGUUGACUGAACCUGAAUCAUAUUAGAGGGGUUAUUAGACCUGGGCCGCCCAUCCCACCUGAAAUUAACACUUGGCACGUGCCUAAACAAACACUGCCUCGGGCCACACUAAUCAGCCUUUUUUGGGCUCAGGACCACUAUUCCUACUCAAACUAACACGCCCUUAUCUCUUGUCUCGUUUGCCUAAAUAAAUCACUUAAACUACUAUCAACGGAAAAAAUUUGAAUAAGAGCUAGGAUCCAAUAAACAAGAUUUUGUUUUAAGAAAUGUGAGUUAGACUGAACUUAAGAUCCGAUUGAUUGCCCAUGUAAUAAAUCGUCCUACGUCAAGAUUGUUCAAUACAGGGUUUCCAGAAUUGUAUCAUGAUACCUUUUUAAGGGUAUAAAAUUAGGGAUGUUUCAAAAAUAAUAAUACGAGUAUGUAACAUGAUUUUAACUUUUAUGUUUUAUGUCUCUAACCAUACUAUUCAUACCGACUUAAAUAUCCCAUUCGUUUCUGACUUUGCCUAAUUUCGUUACCAAAAUUUUUAGUCUAAAUUACCCAAUCACUCAAACCCCUUAAUCCGUGAAUUGUCAUCCUCAACGUUACCCGCCAAUCCUCGUUGGAGUAUCCCAUCACUGGAUGGAUGCCGUUCACGCCCUUUUGUAUGUUCGUGCAUACAACUUUGUAUGCAGGUUCACACAACAUAAUAAAAUUUAAAAUAUUUUUGCUUGUGGUAUAUUUAAAGUGCAGUUGU